ACCAACGGGAAUAAAGCGUGACCGAAUACGUUAUCCUCUGCUUCUUCCCUUCCACUCUCCGCUCUUUCCCCUUCUCUCCCCUCUCCGUCAAACCCUACUUUUUUGCAAGCAGAUCUCUCGUCUUAAUUACACUGACAUCCUCGUCUUAAUUCCUCGAUCGAUUAAUCUCGAUUGCGAAAUCCUUGCGUGAUCGAAUUGCCGGAAUCCUUGUUAUCAUCUUCUUCUUUCGUUACGGUGAGUCGAUGAUGUCUUCGUGAUAUUGAGUGUGGGGCUUCGCUGUUCUUGUUGGACCCUCUUUUUCUUUGGACAGGGUUUGAGUCGGGAGCGUUGCGGUCGCUCCUGUUUCUGAUCUCCGUCGGAUGGAGCCUCGCGUGGGGGACAAGUUCCGCCUUGGUCGCAAGAUCGGGAGCGGUUCCUUUGGAGAGAUCUAUUUAGGAAUUAAUAUCCAAACAAACGAAGAGGUUGCCAUAAAGCUCGCUUUCUACUGUUCCAUCAUACAAGACAAAGAUGUGCAUCUAUUACGGAAAGAAGAAAUCUUGGAAUACUGUCAAGAAAAUGCCACAUGAGUCAUCUGGUUUUAGUUAUCUGAUGCAAGCUCAUUUCAGGCCACGUCACAAUCGAGGUCAUGCCACGCUACAGUCAAGUCAGUAAGGGGAGCACCCUCACACACUGAGCCAAAGAUCAUACUAAGACGCUGCUCGGUAUGUCCCGACCCGGUAAGCCCGGGACGGCGGCCGCAUAAGUGUACCGUCUCAUCUCUCGAGGAUCGAUCGUCAUGUCAAAUCCGCGUACGAUCAACCCUCGUACAAUAGUAUAAAAGCUCAUGGCAGCAUCUGGCCCAAGGGGAAAAAAGGAAAAAAGAGAACUUCACACUGAUUGAUUGAUUGAUGGGUCA